rnacentral:rRNA from 1 species
AAUAGAUACCCCGGUAGUCCACGCCGUAAACGAUGGAUACUAGCUGUUGGGGGGCAACUUCAGUGGCUAAGCGAAAGUGAUAAGUAUCCCACCUGGGGAGUACGAACGCAAGUUUGAAACUCAAAGGAAUUGACGGGGGCCCGCACAAGCGGUGGAGCAUGUGGUUUAAUUCGAUGAUACGCGAGGAACCUUACCAAGGCUUAAAUGCAGACUGACCGAUUUGGAAACAGAUCUUUCGCAAGACAGUUUACAAGGUGCUGCAUGGUUGUCGUCAGCUCGUGCCGUGAGGUGUCAGGUUAAGUCCUAUAACGAGCGCAACCCCUGUUGUUAGUUGCCAGCGAGUCAUGUCGGGAACUCUAACAAGACUGCCAGUGCAAACUGUGAGGAAGGUGGGGAUGACGUCAAAUCAUCACGGCCCUUACGCCUUGGGCUACACACGUGCUACAAUGGCCGGUACAGAGAGCAGCCACUGGGCGACCAGGAGCGAAUCUAUAAAGCCGGUCACAGUUCGGAUCGGAGUCUGC